UUUAACUGUCCUAAAGGGUUGUUCGAGACUAGAACGUUGAUAGGCAGGGUGUGUAAGCGUUGUGAGGCGUUGAGCUAACCUGUACUAAUUGCCCGUGAGGCUUAACCAUACAACACCCAAGGGGUUUUGUA
rnacentral:rRNA from 1 species